rnacentral:rRNA from 1 species
UACGUAGGGGGCAAGCGUUGUCCGGAAUCAUUGGGCGUAAAGAGCGUGUAGGCGGUUCGGUAAGUCGGCUGUGAAAGUCCAGGGCUCAACCCUGGGAUGCCGGUCGAUACUGCCGAACUAGAGUUCGGAAGAGGCGAGUGGAAUUCCCGGUGUAGCGGUGAAAUGCGCAGAUAUCGGGAGGAACACCUAUGGCGAAGGCAGCUCGCUGGGACGUUACUGACGCUGAGACGCGAAAGCGUGGGGAGCAAACAGG